UGAAGCCUGCAUAUAUAUAUAUAUAUAUAUAUAUAUAUAUAUAUAUAUAAAGAAAAAAUAUAUUUUGACUGUAAUAUGACUACAGAUUUUCUGUUGGUAGAUAAAAAGUAAAUUCAAAAUGCAAGACAGGCUUUUAGAGGAUUGGUGUCAGACAUGUAUAAGCCACUGUAAAUGCUGUAAUUAUGAAAUGAAGGUGAUUCAGCGGUGAGUAAGUUUUCCUGACAUCAUGAUCCUUUGUCUCAGUGUGUCUGAGAAACCUCAUUAACUGAGCCAUCAAUACACACUCGGUCACAUACAGGUUUGUGUAUCCUCAAUAUCAUGUUCCAUCCUAAAAUCUAACGGAAGCCAGGUCCUCGAUGACAUCAUUCUCCAGGAAGUGACAUCAUUUUGGAGGGAAAACUGCAGCACAAAGGCUCACUUCAUCUGUCAGAGAUCAGAGUUGUGUUCUUGGGAAAUGGUGAAGUUGACAAGAGCAAAGUGAUCAAAUCCAUCCUGGGCUGUGUCUGGGAAGUCUGCUGAAGAAUCCUCCUG
ensembl:lncRNA